CAUUUGGUGAAUGCCUUGGCGAUAAGAGGCGAUGAAAGACGUGGCACGCUGCGAAAAGCUGCGGUGAGGUGCAAGUAACCAUUGACCCGCAGGUGUCCGAAUGGGGAAACCCGGCAGCAGGAGUGCUGUCAUCCGAAAGGAAGGGAACCCGGUGAACUGAAACAUCUAAGUAGCCGGAGGAAGAGAAAACAACAUGUGAUUCUGUGAGUAGCGGCGAGCGAAAACGGAAGAGCCCAAACCAGGGUGCGUGCACCCUGGGGUUCGGACCGCGGAAUUGAUUCAAUGAGCCUAGCAGAACGGUUUUGGGAAAGCCGGCCAGAGAGGGUGAAAGCCCCGUAAGCGAAAGGCGAGUUGACAUGGCGGUAUCCAGAGUAGGUCGAGACACGUG
rnacentral:rRNA from 16 species